rnacentral:rRNA from 1 species
UGGGGAAUCUUCCGCAAUGGACGAAAGUCUGACGGAGCAACGCCGCGUGUAUGAUGAAGGUCCUCGGAUUGUAAAGUACUGUCAUUGGGGAAGAACGGUUUUCUUGAAAAGAUUGAGAAGACAUGACGGUACCCAAGGAGGAAGCCCCGGCUAACUACGUGCCAGCAGCCGCGGUAAUACGUAGGGGGCAAGCGUUGUCCGGAAUUAUUGGGCGUAACGGGCGCGUAGGCGGGCCUUUAAGUCCGGUGUGAAAGAUCAGGGCUCAAGCCUGAGAGUGCAUAGGAAACUGGAGGCCUUGAGGACAGGAGAGGAAAGUGGAAUUCCACGUGUAGCGGUGAAAUGCGUAGAUAUGUGGAGGAACACCAGUGGCGAAGGCGACUUUCUGGACUGUAACUGACGCUGAGGCGCGAAAGCGUGGGGAGCAAACA